AACUGUGUUUCACGGUAUCAUCAGUCUCAUAACCUGAAGGUCGUAGGUUCAAAUCCUACCCCCGCAACCA
rnacentral:tRNA from 1 species